GACGAACGCUGGCGGCGUGCUUAACACAUGCAAGUCGAACGCUGAAGCUCAGCUUUUGUUGGGUGGAUGAGUGGCGAACGGGUGAGUAACACGUGAGUAACCUGCCCCCUUCUUUGGGAUAACGCCCGGAAACGGGUGCUAAUACUGGAUAUUCACUGGUCUUCGCAUGGGGGUUGGUGGAAAGGGUUUUUCUGGUGGGGGAUGGGCUCGCGGCCUAUCAGCUUGUUGGUGGGGUGAUGGCCUACCAAGGGUUUGACGGGUAGCCGGCCUGAGAGGGUGCCCGGUCACAUUGGGACUGAGAUACGGCCCAGGCUCCUACGGGGGGCAGCAGUGGGGAAUAAUGCAGAAUGGGCGCAAGACUGAUGCAGCGACGCAGCGUGAGGGAUGGAGGCCGUCGGGUUGUGAACCUCGUUCGCUAAUGGUCAAGCCGCAACAAUGGUUGUGGUGAGGGUAGUGGGUAAAGAAGCGCCGGCUAACUACGUG
rnacentral:rRNA from 1 species